rnacentral:misc_RNA from 1 species
GGAAGUAAAAGUCGUAACAGGGUUUCCGUAGGUGAACCUGCGGAAGGAUCAUUAUUGAAUGAAACACUUCUGGCUUUAUGCUGUUGUGCUGGCCCUUUGGGCAAUGUGCACACGGCUCUGGUCACUUGUUUCUUCUGUUCCACCUGUGCACUGCCUGUAGACACGCUGUGUCUAUGAUAUUUGUUAACACACAACAAUGUUAGUUGGCAUGUUAUAUAUAAUAAUAAAAUAUACAACUUUCAACAACGGAUCUCUUGGCUCUC